CCUACGGGUGGCAGCAGUGGGGAAUAUUGCACAAUGGGCGGAACCCUGAUGCAGCGACGCCGCGUGGGUGAGGAAGUACUUCGGUAUGUAAAGCCCUAUCAGCAGGGGAGCAAAUGACGGUACCUGACUAAGAAGCCCCGGCUAACUACGUGCCAGCAGCCGCGGGAAUACGUCGGGGGCCAGCGUUAUCCGGAUUUACUGGGGGUAAAGGGGGCGUAGACGGGGUGCCAAGUCUGGUGUGAAAGGCCGGGGGUCAACCCCGGGACUGCAUUGGAAACUGGCAGGCUGGAGUGCCGGAGGGGCAAGCGGAAUGCGUGGUGUAGCGGUGAAAUGCGUAGAUAUUAGGCGGAACACCGAUGGCGAAGGCAGCAUGCUGG
rnacentral:rRNA from 1 species